AUAUAAGCCUCUCUCAGACCGGUUAUCUCAGUUUUCCGGGUCACGCAGAUUCGUCGCCAUUGACAGCGGUAAUCAUGCUGCAAAACACUUAUCUUAUAGCGGUGUUAUGCAUUCUUGUGAUCCUCUGUCUGUCUGAGGUCAAUGCAUGGUACUUCGGACAGGACCCGCACUACUAUUACCGCCGUCGCCCCAUGUUAUGGCAGUAUCCCGAGUGGGACACUCCAGAUGCCUUUGAUUGGGAUUAAACUGACACACAAUGAAUUGUCCACAUUUGUCAAGAAGAACUUAAAUGGAGACAUUUCGUAGGAACGGCACAGCCGAAAUAAAUGAAAUGAAAACAACGCAAUGAAUUAUAUCACUAAAGCAGAAUAAAACAAAACACAAAAUGCC